AACGAACGCUGGCGGCGUGCCUAACACAUGCAAGUCGAGCGGUAACAGGCCCUUGGGUGCUGACGAGUGGCGGAUGGGUGAGUAAUACUUAGGAAUCUACCCUGUAGUGGGGGACAACCCGGGAACUCGGGCUAAUACCGCAUACGCUCUACGGAGGAAAGCGGGGACCGCAAGGCCUCGCGCUAUUGGAUGAGCCUAAGCCCGAUUAGCUAGUUGGUGGGGUAAUGGCCUACCAAGGCAAUGAUCGGUUAGCUGGUCUGAGAGGACGACCAGCCACACUGGGACUGAGACACGGCCCAGACUCCUACGGGAGGCA
rnacentral:rRNA from 1 species